rnacentral:lncRNA from 1 species
GCUGAGGCCUGGCGCCUCGCGGUGCCCCUCUGAGCUCCUCAUUCGGGCUGCGUGCAGCCCUCGUGCUGCAGGUCCCUUUAUGAGUCUCCAAGCAGGUGUUAGGAGGGAGAUAAAGUUUGUCUUUUCAGGGUCCCACAAACUCAGUCCUGCCGAGCUCGCCAGCUCCCUUCCUGUUAGUGCAGAGACUAUUCUCACCAGUCUGCCAGG